CUGAAUAGGGCGCUUAGUCAGAUGCUGCAGACCCGAAACGAAGUGAUCUAUCCAUGAGCAAGUUGAAGCUAGUGUAAGAACUAGUGGAGGACUGAACCCAUAGGCGUUGAAAAGCCCCGGGAUGACUUGUGGAUAGGGGUGAAAGGCCAAUCAAACUUCGUGAUAGCUGGUUCUCUCCGAAAUAUAUUUAGGUAUAGCGUUGUGUCGUAAUAUAAGGGGGUAGAGCACUGAAUGGGCUAGGGCAUACACCAAUGUACCAAACCCUAUCAAACUCCGAAUACCUUAUAUGUAAUCACAGCAGUCAGGCGGCGAGUGAUAAAAUCCGUCGUCAAGAGGGAAACAACCCAGACUACCAGCUAAGGUCCCUAAAUCUUACUUAAGUGGAAAACGAUGUGAAGUUACUUAAACAACCAGGAGGUUGGCUUAGAAGCAGCCAUCCUUUAAAGAAAGCGUAAUAGCUCACUGGUCUAGUGAUUUUGCGCGGAAAAUAUAACGGGGCUAAAGUA
rnacentral:rRNA from 1 species